CUUUCUUUCUCAUCGGAGACCUGCCCUCAUCUAUGUCUACCUUCAUGGCUUCACCCCUUCAUCUAUUAUCAACCACAAAACUGAAAAAAAAAAAAUCAAAAAAAAUCAUAAACCACUAUUCUUCUGGUUUUAUAGCUUUGACACACCUCCCUCCUUCAUUAUUUGUCUGAAAACAAAUCAGAUCUAAACAAAUAGGUCCAAAAAAUUGAGAGAAGACUUUCGAUCUAAACUCGUGAGCAUGUUGUAUUAUUUUUUUCGAUUAUUAAUUUUUUUAAUAUAAUUUCUUUUGGUUCAUUUUUU